AUUGAAAUAAACCUGAUGGGUUGUUGCUGGCUCUCCAGGGAGCAUGUGCACACCUUGUCAUCUUUACAUUUCCACCUGUGCACCUUUUGUAGACCCUCCCAGGUCUAUGUUGCUUCAUUUACCCCCUGAUGUAUGUCAAUAGAAUGUAGUGCUUAUGAAAUAUAUACAACUUUCAGCAACGGAUCUCUUGGCUCUCGCAUCGAUGAAGAACGCAGCGAAAUGCGAUAAGUAAUGUGAAUUGCAGAAUUCAGUGAAUCAUCGAAUCUUUGAACGCACCUUGCGCUCCUUGGUAUUCCGAGGAGCAUGCCUGUUUGAGUGUCAUUAAUAUAUAUAUCAACCCCCCUCUUGUUGAGCGGGUUUGGAUGUGGAGGUUUUUGCUGGCCGCUUAAAAAAAGGGUUCAGCUCCUCUGAAAUACAUUAGCGGGACAAGCCUGUCCAUUCAUUGGUGUGAUAAAUAUCUACGCUGUUGAAUGUGAGGCAGUUCAGCUUUCCAACAGUCCUUUGGACAGCCUAUCAUUUUAUGUGACCUCAAAUCAGGUAGGACUACCCGCUGAACUUAAGCAUAUCAAUAAGCGGAGGAAAAGAAACUAACAAGGAUUCCCCUAGUAACUGCGAGUGAAGCGGGAAAAGCUCAAAUUUAAAAUCUGGCGGUCUUUUGGCUGUCCGAGUUGUAAUCUAGAGAAGUGUUAUCCGCGCUGGACCGUGUACAAG
rnacentral:rRNA from 1 species